CCUACGGGAGGCAGCAGUGGGGAAUUUUGGACAAUGGGCGCAAGCCUGAUCCAGCAAUGCCGCGUGAGUGAAGAAGGCCUUCGGGUUGUAAAGCUCUUUUGUCAGGGAAGAAACGGUGGAGGCUAAUAUCCUUUGCUAAUGACGGUACCUGAAGAAUAAGCACCGGCUAACUACGUGCCAGCAGCCGCGGUAAUACGUAGGGUGCAAGCGUUAAUCGGAAUUACUGGGCGUAAAGCGUGCGCAGGCGGUUUUGUAAGUUUGUCGUGAAAUCCCCGGGCUCAACCUGGGAAUGGCGAUGAAGACUGCAAGGCUAGAAUCUGGCAGAGGGGGGUAGAAUUCCACGUGUAGCAGUGAAAUGCGUAGAGAUGUGGAGGAACACCGAUGGCGAAGGCAGCCCCCUGGGUCAAGAUUGACGCUCAUGCACGAAAGCGUGGGGAGCAAACAGGAUUAGAUACCCUGGUAGUCCACGCCCUAAACGAUGUCUACUAGUUGUCGGGUUUUAAUUAACUUGGUAACGCAGCUAACGCGUGAAGUAGACCGCCUGGGGAGGUACGGUCGCGAAGAGUAAACGUUACGAAGUAAGUUAGUUAGCGNGAGAGNGCGACGGACGACGACGAGGGAGGAGG
rnacentral:rRNA from 1 species